UACAGAGGUGGCAAGCGUUGUUCGGAAUUACUGGGCGUAAAGGGCGCGUAGGCGGCCUACUAAGUCAGACGUGAAAUCCCCCGGCUUAACCUGGGAACUGCGUCUGAUACUGGAAGGCUUGAGGAUGGGAGAGGGAUGUAGAAUUCCAGGUGUAGCGGUGAAAUGUGUAGAGAUCGGGAGGAACACCGGUGGCGAAGGCGGGUCUCUGGGCAAUUCCUGACGCUGAGGCGCGAAAGCGUGGGGAGCAAACGGG
rnacentral:rRNA from 1 species